GCACAUUAGGUUAUACCAGCCUGGAGCACAAGGAAUAGAGAGAAAUAAAGAAGCACAUUAGGUGAUAGGAGCCUGGAGCACAAGGAAUAGAGGGGAAUAAAGAAGCACAUUAGGUUAUAGGAGCCUGGAGCACAAGGAAUAAAGCGGUUCAGGUGGAGCACAAGGAAUAGAGGGGAAUAAAGAAGCACAUUAGGUGAUAGGAGCCUGGAGCACAAGGAAUAGAGGGGUUCAGGCGGAGCACAAGGAAUAGAGGGAAAUAAAGAAGCACAUUAGGUGAUAGGAGCCUGGAGCACAAGGAAUAGAGGGGUUCAGGUGGAGCACAAGGAAUAGAGGGGUUCAGGCGGAGCACAAGGAAUAGAGGGGUUCAGGUGGAGCACAAGGAAUAGAGGGGAAUAAAGAAGCACAUUAGGUGAUAGGAGACUGGAGCACAAGGAAUAGAGGGGUUCAGGUGGAGCACAAGGAAUAGAGGGGUUCAGGCGGAGCACAAGGAAUAGAGGGAAAUAAAGAAGCACAUUAGGUGAUAGGAGACUGGAGCACAAGGAAUAGAGGGGUUCAGGCGGAGCACAAGGAAUAGAGGGGUUCAGGCGGAGCACAAGGAAUAGAGGGGUUCAGGUGGAGCACAAGGAAUAGAGGGGAAUAAAGAAGCACAUUAGGUGAUAGGAGACUGGAGCACAAGGAAUAGAGGGGUUCAGGUGGAGCACAAGGAAUAGAGGGGUUCAGGCGGAGCACAAGGAAUAGAGGGGUUCAGGUGGAGCACAAGGAAUAGAGGGGUUCAGGCGGAGCACAAGGAAUAGAGGGAAAUAAAGAAGCACAUUAGGUGAUAGGAGACUGGAGCACAAGGAAUAGAGGGGUUCAGGCGGAGCACAAGGAAUAGAGGGGAAUAAAGAAGCACAUUAGGUUAUAGGAGCCUGGAGCACAAGGAAUAAAGCGGUUCAGGUGGAGCACAAGGAAUAGAGGGGAAUAAAGAAGCACAUUAGGUGAUAGGAGCCUGGAGCACAAGGAAUAGAGGGGUUCAGGCGGAGCACAAGGAAUAGAGGG